UCGAACGAUGAACCCGAAGCUUGCUUUGGGGGAUUAGUGGCGAACGGGUGAGUAACACGUGAGCAACCUGCCCCUCACUCUGGGAUAAGCGCUGGAAACGGCGUCUAAUACUGGAUACGAGUCGCAACCGCAUGGUUAGCGAUUGGAAAGAUUUUUUGGUGGGGGAUGGGCUCGCGGCCUAUCAGCUUGUUGGUGAGGUAAUGGCUCACCAAGGCGUCGACGGGUAGCCGGCCUGAGAGGGUGACCGGCCACACUGGGACUGAGACACGGCCCAGACUCCUACGGGAGGCAGCAGUGGGGAAUAUUGCACAAUGGGCGGAAGCCUGAUGCAGCAACGCCGCGUGAGGGAUGACGGCCUUCGGGUUGUAAACCUCUUUUAGCAGGGAAGAAGCGAAAGUGACGGUACCUGCAGAAAAAGCACCGGCUAACUACGUGCCAGCAGCCGCGGUAAUACGUAGGGUGCAAGCGUUAUCCGGAAUUAUUGGGCGUAAAGAGCUCGUAGGCGGUUUGUCGCGUCUGCUGUGAAAUCCCGAGGCUCAACCUCGGGCCUGCAGUGGGUACGGGCAGACUAGAGUGCGGUAGGGGAGAUUGGAAUUCCUGGUG
rnacentral:rRNA from 1 species